AUUGAACGCUGGCGGCAUGCCUUACACAUGCAAGUCGAACGGUAACGGGCCUUCGGGUGCCGACGAGUGGCGAACGGGUGAGUAAUGUAUCGGAACGUACCUUUCAGUGGGGGAUAAUGUAGCGAAAGUUACGCUAAUACCGCAUAUUCUGUGAGCAGGAAAGCAGGGGAUCGCAAGACCUUGCGCUGAUUGAGCGGCCGAUAUCAGAUUAGCUAGUUGGUGAGGUAAAGGCUCACCAAGGCGACGAUCUGUAGCGGGUCUGAGAGGAUGAUCCGCCACACUGGAACUGAGACACGGUCCGGACUCCUACGGGAGGCAGCAGUGGGGAAUUUUGGACAAUGGGGCCAACCCUGAUCCAGCCAUGCCGCGUGAGUGAAGAA
rnacentral:rRNA from 1 species